UAAUGGUAAAACUAGAACGUCCUCGAGUUUUUCCUGAUUUCAAACAUUAUUGAAGGUAUGGAAACAAGAUCCUUGUUAAGCGUUGAUCCAUCAACUAUGCGCUUGAUGAAAUCUGUAAGCCUAGUGUAAUAGAGCAGCAGCUGGGUUAAUGCAGCUCUCAAGAUCUCCAUACCACACA